rnacentral:lncRNA from 1 species
CAGCUGCUAGGGAUCCGAGAGCUAGUGCCAAAUUUUAUACAGUGGUUCAGGAGGACAUGUACGAGGCUCUUGUUCGCUCACAGGCUCAGUUCAAAGAACACAGGGUACUUGAUCAUGAGAUUCUAGGGAACGUGGUCGGUGCAGAUAUCAGGGAGUACUUCACUUAUCUCCAUGGUCUCCCAGAGUUACUUGCUCUACCU